GUUGUAUGGUUAAGUGACUAAGCGUACACGGUGGAUGCCUUGGCAGUCAGAG
rnacentral:rRNA from 2 species